UUGAUUUCAACAAAUGAAGGCACCCAUAUAGGGUUUAAUAGGGAAUCCGGUGAAAUUCCGGAGCUGUCCCCGCAACUGUAAAUGCGAACGACCGGAUUAGCCACUGGUUCGAAAUAAUCGAACUGGGAAGGCCCCAUUAGGAUGAUGCAUGAGCCAGGAGACCUCCCUUUUAUUUGUCGGAGUU
rnacentral:ncRNA from 2 species